CAGCCUUGUGUAAUUCCUCUGGGCUUUGGCUCUUUGGUUUCUCAAUCUAGUUUUCGCAUUUUUAUUGUUGCUUCUGUACUGAAAAUGUGUAUGAACUUCUUGGUUUCUGCAGGAGCAAGCCCUUGCAGAUCUGGGUGCUGUUGAUGCUGCUUGUUAUGUUCAAUUCGUGCUUAGGCAUGAUACUGUCAUUGCAUCGUUUUAUGUUGAUCUUUGUUGUGCCCUCUCCUUAUUCAGUUAUGCCUCUGGGGAAUAGGGCAUUCUUUAGAAAUCGUUGUCAUGAAGGUUAGAUGUUCUAUGGCCACGAUACUAGUACUGACUGCCUGUCGGUUUCGUUGAUAAUGCUCGCAUCAAUUUCAUAUCUUUCCCGCCAUACUUUGCUUUAAAGAUUUCAAUUUCUCGAAAAUUGCAUGGUUUUGAGUCCUGCCAAAUACGACUAAUUAUCUGGUCUUUUGCAAUUUCUUCUGUUGAACAUAAAUUUGGUUCCUUGUUAUUUAACCAAAAGGACGACUCACAUGACUAUUUUUUUUGGUAUUGGCAUCCAACUUGCAGUGGUUAACGGUCAUGGAAAACGUCCGCAAGAUGAGGACAUUCAGUCAAAUGUCCUUGAGAUUGUUGGCUCAAAUAUUCAGUCCACAUACAUCACGUGCCCAGCAGAUCCAGCUGCAACACUUGGCAUAAAACUGCCAUUCUUGGUUAUGAUUUUAAAGAAUCUGAAAAAAUACUUCACCUUUGAGAUCCAAGUUCUGGAUGACAAGAACGUGAGGCGGCUCUUCCGUGCUUCUAAUUUUCAAGUGUGUAAGUUUGCCCGUAUUGCUAUAUUUGUUUUCUGGUUUGGACAACUUGUUACUAGAUUUUAUUGGCCCUAAAAGUGUAACAGAUAGACAGAUCAUGCCAUAUGGCCAUAGGUGGAAAUUUCUAGCCUGUAGUGGUCCUUGGACUUGAAAUGAGAUUUCAUCUGGCAUUUAGAAACCGAUGGUUCUGCAGUUUCAGUUGUUUUGACUACACUGUGUAAUCGCAAUGCUGGAGGAAAAGAGACUUGCAAAAGGAAAAUCAUGGAUCUCUCAAUCCCAAGCUGUGUUGUUAAUGAAAUGGCAAGGGAGCUUUUAGCUAUCAAUAGAUUUGAACCACCUAUGCAGGAUCAUAUUCAUGCGAACUCUACAGCCUGUAAUUGGCUUCAUGCUGAUUCAUUGCUCAUACCGAGAUAACUGUCGGUGGAGAUUGGAGGGACAACUUGAUAUUUAUUUACUUACUUUCUGAAUCAGCUGGAUAAGAAGCCCUUUCUCCCUAAUGGAAUGGGAAAUGGUUUUAGUAUGCACUCCAUUUUAUGACAUGUUGCAUAUAACACCCUCUCCUUCUAUAAAGUUCUAUAUGAUUCAUGUACACUAAGGAAUUGGCAUUGCAUGUAACCUUUCGGUCUUGCAUUGCGGGCUGUGACUAGGGUCGAGCCAUAUAUUUGCACCAUGCCGUUGAUGUUGGAUGAAGGAUGGAAUCAGAUCCAGUUAAAUCUCACUGAUUUGACGGGGAGAGCAUACGGAACCAACUAUGUCAAGACAUUGAGAGUACAGGUACAUGCAAACUGCCGUCUAAGAAGAAUCUAUUUCUCGGACCACCUUUAAUCCGAAGAGGAACUUCCACCAGAGUUUAAACUCUAUCUUCCCAUGCAGAAAAGUUAGGAACUUUGGGCGAAAGGUCUCCUGAUCGGUUACUCGCGACACAAGCGGGACCUCUUGAAUCAUGUGAUGCGUAUGGUUAUCCCGUCGCAUGUUACACGGCUGUGAACUUGAUGGACUGUGGUCAAA